CGGGACGGGUGAGUAAUGUCUGGGAAACUGCCUGAUGGAGGGGGGUAACUACUGGAAACGGUAGCUAUACCGCAUAACGUCGCAAGACCAAAGAGGGGGACCUUCGGGCCUCUUGCCAUCGGAUGUGCCCAGAUGGGAUUAGCUAGUAGGUGGGGUAACGGCUCACCUAGGCGACGAUCCCUAGCUGGUCUGAGAGGAUGACCAGCCACACUGGAACUGAGACACGGUCCAG
rnacentral:rRNA from 1 species